rnacentral:rRNA from 1 species
UCCGAGUUGUAAUUUGCAGAGGGCGCUUUGGCUUUGGCAGCGGUCCAAGUUCCUUGGAACAGGACGUCACAGAGGGUGAGAAUCCCGUACGUGGUCGCUAGCUAUUGCCGUGUAAAGCCCCUUCGACGAGUCGAGUUGUUUGGGAAUGCAGCUCUAAAUGGGAGGUAAAUUUCUUCUAAAGCUAAAUAUUGGCCAGAGACCGAUAGCGCACAAGUAGAGUGAUCGAAAGAUGAAAAGCACUUUGGAAAGAGAGUCAAACAGCACGUGAAAUUGUUGAAAGGGAAGCGCUUGCAGCCAGACUUGCUUGCAGUUGCUCAUCCGGGCUUUUGCCCGGUGCACUCUUCUGCAGGCAGGCCAGCAUCAGUUUGGGCGGUGGGAUAAAGGUCUCUGACACGUUCCUUCCUUCGGGUUGGCCAUAUAGGGGAGACGUCAUACCACCAGCCUGGACUGAGGUCCGCGCAUCUGCUAGGAUGCUGGCGUAAUGGCUGUAAGCGGCCCGUCUUGAAACACGGACCAAGGAGUCUAACAUCUAUGCGAGUGUUUGGGUGUCAAGCCCGAGCGCGUAAUGAAAGUGAACGGAGGUGGGAACCCGCAAGGGCGCACCAUCGACCGAUCCUGAAGUUUACGGAAGGAUUUGAGUAAGAGCAUGGCUGUUGGGACCCGAAAGAUGGUGAACUAUGCUUGAAUAGGGUGAAGCCAGAGGAAACUCUGGUGGAGG